GUAGUGCAAUAGAUAGCGCGUUGGACUUCUAAUCCAGAGGUCGUGGAUUUGAAUCCUACCUAGCCU